rnacentral:rRNA from 3 species
AGAGUUUGAUCCUGGCUCAGGAUGAACGCUGGCGGCGUGCCUAAUACAUGCAAGUCGAGCGAACGGACGAGAAGCUUGCUUUUCUGAUGUUAGCGGCGGACGGGUGAGUAACACGUGGAUAACCUACCUAUAAGACUGGGAUAACUUCGGGAAACCGGAGCUAAUACCGGAUGAUAUUUUGAACCGCAUGGUUCAAAAGUGAAAGACGGUCUUGCUGUCACUUAUAGAUGGAUCCGCGCUGCAUUAGCUAGUUGGUAAGGUAACGGCUUACCAAGGCAACGAUGCAUAGCCGACCUGAGAGGGUGAUCGGCCACACUGGAACUGAGACACGGUCCAGACUCCUACGGGAGGCAGCAGUAGGGAAUCUUCCGCAAUGGGCGAAAGCCUGACGGAGCAACGCCGCGUGAGUGAUGAAGGUCUUCGGAUCGUAAAACUCUGUUAUUAGGGAAGAACAUAUGUGUAAGUAACUGUGCACAUCUUGACGGUACCUAAUCAGAAAGCCACGGCUAACUACGUGCCAGCAGCCGCGGUAAUACGUAGGUGGCAAGCGUUAUCCGGAAUUAUUGGGCGUAAAGCGCGCGUAGGCGGUUUUUUAAGUCUGAUGUGAAAGCCCACGGCUCAACCGUGGAGGGUCAUUGGAAACUGGAAAACUUGAGUGCAGAAGAGGAAAGUGGAAUUCCAUGUGUAGCGGUGAAAUGCGCAGAGAUAUGGAGGAACACCAGUGGCGAAGGCGACUUUCUGGUCUGUAACUGACGCUGAUGUGCGAAAGCGUGGGGAUCAAACAGGAUUAGAUACCCUGGUAGUCCACGCCGUAAACGAUGAGUGCUAAGUGUUAGGGGGUUUCCGCCCCUUAGUGCUGCAGCUAACGCAUUAAGCACUCCGCCUGGGGAGUACGACCGCAAGGUUGAAACUCAAAGGAAUUGACGGGGACCCGCACAAGCGGUGGAGCAUGUGGUUUAAUUCGAAGCAACGCGAAGAACCUUACCAAAUCUUGACAUCCUUUGACAACUCUAGAGAUAGAGCCUUCCCCUUCGGGGGACAAAGUGACAGGUGGUGCAUGGUUGUCGUCAGCUCGUGUCGUGAGAUGUUGGGUUAAGUCCCGCAACGAGCGCAACCCUUAAGCUUAGUUGCCAUCAUUAAGUUGGGCACUCUAAGUUGACUGCCGGUGACAAACCGGAGGAAGGUGGGGAUGACGUCAAAUCAUCAUGCCCCUUAUGAUUUGGGCUACACACGUGCUACAAUGGACAAUACAAAGGGCAGCGAAACCGCGAGGUCAAGCAAAUCCCAUAAAGUUGUUCUCAGUUCGGAUUGUAGUCUGCAACUCGACUACAUGAAGCUGGAAUCGCUAGUAAUCGUAGAUCAGCAUGCUACGGUGAAUACGUUCCCGGGUCUUGUACACACCGCCCGUCACACCACGAGAGUUUGUAACACCCGAAGCCGGUGGAGUAACCUUUUAGGAGCUAGCCGUCGAAGGUGGGACAAAUGAUUGGGGUGAAGUCGUAACAAGGUAGCCGUAUCGGAAGGUGCGGCUGGAUCACCU